rnacentral:tRNA from 1 species
GCGGGAGUCGCCUAGCGGCCAACCUUUCCCUCGCUGCUCGAAAAUUUCGCCGCAGCUCAUUUUCUGCGCUGCUCCGAAAAGCUUGACCAAAAGCUGCGAAUGGCGGCAGGUUGCUAACCUGUUAGGGCGCAAGCUCUCCGGGGGUUCGAGUCCCCCCUCCCGCG